rnacentral:rRNA from 1 species
AUAGAGGCCUACCAUGGUGGUAACGGGUAACGGGGUGUUAGGGCACGACACCGGAGAGGGAGCCUGAGAAACGGCUACCACAUCCAAGGAUGGCAGCAGGCGCGCAAAUUACCCAAUCCCGACACGGGGAGGUAGUGACAAUAAAUAACAAUACGGGGUUCUUUCGGAUCUCGUAAUUGGAAUGAGUACAAUUUAAAUCUCUUAACGAGGAACAGUUGGAGGGCAAGUCUGGUGCCAGCAGCCGCGGUAAUUCCAGCUCCAAUAGCGUAUAUUAAAGUUGUUGCAGUUAAAAAGCUCGUAGUUGAGUUUCGGGGUUAGUAGGUUGGUCAUGCCUCUGGUAUGUACUGGUCUCACUGAUUCCUCCUUCCUUAUGAACCGUAAUGCCAUUAAUUUGGUGUUGCGGGGAAUUUGGACUGUUACUUUGAAAAAAUUAGAGUGUUUAAAGCAAGCUAACGCUUGAAUACAUUAGCAUGGAAUAAUGAAAUAGGACGUUCGAUCUUAUUUUGUUGGUUUCUAGGAUUGACGUAAUGAUUAAUAGGGAUAGUUGGGGGCAUUAGUAUUCAAUUGUCAGAGGUGAAAUUCUUGGAUUUAUUGAAGACUAACUACUGCGAAAGCAUUUGCCAAGGAUGUUUUCAUUAAUCAAGAACGAAAGUUAGGGGAUCGAAGACGAUCAGAUACCGUCGUAGUCUUAACCAUAAACUAUGCCGACUAGGGAUCGGAUGA